rnacentral:rRNA from 1 species
ACNCAUGCAGUCGAACGAACUCUUCGGAGUGAGUGGCGGACGGGUGAGUAACGCGUGAGAAUCUGCCUGUGGGUCGGGGACAACCACUGGAAACGGUGGCUAAUACCGGAUGAGCCGAAAGGUAAAAAUUUAUUGCCCACAGAUGAGCUCGCGUCUGAUUAGCUAGUUGGUAAGGUAAAAGCGUACCAAGGCGACGAUCAGUAGCUGGUCUGAGAGGAUGAGCAGCCACACUGGGACUGAGACACGGCCCAGACUCCUACGGGAGGCAGCAGUGGGGAAUUUUCCGCAAUGGGCGAAAGCCUGACGGAGCAAGACCGCGUGGGGGAGGAAGGUUUUUGGAUCGUAAACCCCUUUUGUCAAGGAAGAAGUUCUGACGGUACUUGACGAAUAAGCCUCGGCUAACUCCGUGCCAGCAGCCGCGGUAAUACGGAGGAGGCAAGCGUUAUCCGGAAUGAUUGGCCGUAAAGCGUCUGUAGGUGGCCAGCUAAGUCUGCUGUNAAGAUCACAGCUCACUUGUGGGAAGGCAGUGNAACUGGCAAGCUAGAGGCUUGGUAGGGUAAAGGGAAUUCC